GAUGCCAGCGCAGGUCGUCGCUCUCGUGGGUGAUGUAGCGCUCGUUCAUCCGGCACUCCAGGUUCCGCAGGUCCAGCCACAUUUGGUAGUCCUGGUGUGCGAAACAAACACACCCUCAAACAAGAACAACAAAUCAAAAAAUAUAGGUGGUAAUAUAGCAGCAGAAAAACCAGGAGUCAGGAAUGAACCAGCUUGAAUUUGUCUUGAUGUACCUUCCUGAGAGACUUUCUUCCAGGGGUGUGGAGGGUACAUGAAGGCAGCGUUCUGGAUCUGAUCGUUGAUAUCUUCAUCUUCAUUAAAUGGGAAUGUCCCACUGAGGCUGCAGCACACAGAGAGAAACGAGAGCGGUUGUAGCCUUUGUUCCUCAGGACCUCCGGAGCGAGGUACGCCGGCGUGCCGACCACCGAACGCCGGAACGACUUCUCACCGAUGAUUCGAGCAAAUCCAAAGUCGCAUAACUUCACCUGCAGGAAGAGGACGGCGGUCUGUUACACAACAUCUGAAUUAGGCCUACAUCUCACCUGCAGCUGAUUUGCAGGGGUGAAGUCCAGCCACCACUCUGUCUUGAUUUAUGUUAAAGUACCUUGGAAAAAUUAACUUUUAUGCACUUUUUUUAGUGUGCUUUUCUUUCAUUGCCAUUUUGUAGUUUUUCUCAGUCACUAAUGUUCAAAGAUGUUAAACAAGGUUUGUUAUAUGUGAGAUGAUUUACUGAAGUUCUACAUUUAUGUUUAAUUUCUCUGACUUAUGUUUUUGUCUUUAUUGACAGUAGGUUCAUGUAGAUGUUGCUGGUGGUUAAUUACACAUUCAUGAGCCUUCGUUUUCAAUGUUUUCCUUUUUUUUAAAUCAGAUGAACUAAUCCCAGGAACUAUAAAUCCCUUUUGUUUAUUCUUGUUUGUUUUUCCACCGCAUCUAAAGAACCGUGCAGAUAGAUAAAUUACCUCUGUUGUAGAUUAAAAUGAACAGUGGCAGCUUUUGAAACGCAAAUUUAUACAUUAGAAAACAAGAACAGUGUCAUCCUGUUCCUCUUUGUAUUUACUGUUGUAAUUACAAUUUUGGGUCUCAAAAGAAAAAUGAAUAAGAACCUCUGGUUAAGACACUGUCUACCUUUAAAACACCCACUGUAAAAACAUAUAAAUACAAUUACUUAAAAAAAACAAAAAAACACUUUAAGUUCUUCUUCCACAAAAUGAUCAUAAACAAAAUAUUUAUUUUUAUGAUUUGCAGAAGUUAAAAAAAAAAACUGCGGUAGAGGAGUGGUUACAGUUCAUACAAAGGUUUUAAACAAAAAACAGGUAAUAUAGUUUUUAUCAGUAUCUGAACUGACCUUGAUGACAUCACUAUGACAUCAUCAGGGUUAUUUUCUCAGACCUGACAUCAUACAGCUGUUUUUACUUGUCACUGGUGUUGAUGUUAAUUGUAACCUUUUAACAGAAAAGAAACUGAAUCACUUUUUUUUUCUUUUGAAUUGCAACUUUAUGGACAAAUUUGGUCCGAUUUAGUUUAAUUUCCAACAUUAUAAACACAAUCAUUAGAAAGGCUGGAUUGUUCAUGUUUACAUUAGCUGUCUGAUCUCUUACAGCUCUAACUAAGCUAACUUUGAUGCAUCAGUGCUAAACACAUCAGCAUGUUGUUUGCUUCUGCAGAUGAUACGCAGUAAGAAAAGUGUGAGGACUCGACAGCCCAACAACCAGCCUGAUGCAUCAUUACACUUAGUGUGUCUGACACAAACAGCUAUUUCUGGAGAGGAGACUGAAAACUGCAGAAAGCUACUAAUAGUCGCACUGACGCUUAAUGGACUGUUUGACAGUCUGAGUCUGUUUUUGUUUACCUGCCUGUAUCCUGCUGUUUCAUCUCCUCUCUGUAUGCAUGUAUAUAUAAAGUCUGUAUCUUAUAGCUCCCAUCAUCAGCUUUCAGGGUCGUUUUAUCACUAUUGUUGUUUUGUCUUGAUGCAUUUGGAGUUUUGAAUCCAUAAAUCUUUCAUCACCUUGAA